rnacentral:rRNA from 1 species
UACGGGGGGAGCAAGCGUUGUUCGGAUUUACUGGGCGUAAAGGGCGCGUAGGCGGUCAGCACAAGUCAGUUGUGAAAUCUCCGGGCUUAACUCGGAAAGGUCAACUGAUACUGUGCGACUAGAGUGCAGAAGGGGCAACUGGAAUUCUCGGUGUAGCGGUGAAAUGCGUAGAUAUCGGGAGGAACAUCAGUGGCGAAGGCGGCUGUCUGGCCCAAUACUGACACUCAGGUGCGACAGCGUGGGGAGCAAACAGG